UCUGAGAGUCACUGCUAUUGGUCACUGCUGCUGCACCCACACAUAGAGGCAGGCUCUGCUUACAUUUUUUGGUUCUUGUUCCCAGAAACAUUUGCUCUUUGAGGUAUGCUUUGCAUAUAACGGAUCCUACCCACUAAUACUGUAUGCUGCUUUUAUUGAUAAACUUCCAGAAACUUGGAGGGCACCUUACCAUUUCUUUGGUCUCGCUGAUUAUUUUUAUUUUUGUUAAAUGAAAAUUGUUGAGCCCAACUGUGCUGCCUGGUUUUCUUCUCAGUCCGAAGAGGCAAACAGAAAGUUGCAUAUUACUCAACAGCAGUUGCAUGGCCGUUAAAAUCAGACUGUAUGAGCCAUGGAACAGUAAGUUGUGUCCAGAGUAUCAGUCAUGGCCAGAAAUUCGACAGGCUGUGCAAUUUAUUUAAUUCAAGCAAGGAUGUUGUUUAAAGUGUCUUACAAGGACAUAUACAAUAGAUUAUGAGAGCAUGAAAUAACAUAUAACAAAAGAAGAUUGAAGAACAAAAUCUGGAACAUCAAAUGAGAACAGGAUCGAAAAUAAAUGCGAAAAUAAACAGGAUCGAAAAUAAAUGUUGAUUUACAGACUUGCCAUGAAGGGUUUGCAGAUACGGCUUUGAGCUUCCUAACAGCCAAUGCAAGAAAGGAAACAUGAUAAAUUACACUACUUAGUGCUCUGGAGGAGACAUUCGAGAGAAUUGCAACCAAUAAUUAUUGUGGUUUUAUUCAACAAUAUACUCAGCUUAACCCCUAUCAUGAAUACUUGUCGGGCACCAGGCUAUAUAUAUAAGCCAGAGUUUACAGAGAUUUUACGUACUCAACCCAAGUUCAGAGAUAACACUACAACUGACCCUUGAACCACAAGGGUUUGAACUGCAUGAGUCCACUUAGACAUGGAUUUUUUUCCUCCUCUUCUGCCACCCCUGAGACAACAGGACCAUCCCCUCUUCUUCCUCCUCUUCCUCAGCCUAUGCAAUGUGAAGAUGACAAGGAAGAAGACCUUUAUGAUGAUCCACGUCUACUUAAUGAAUACAGAUAACUGGGAAUGGGAAAUAGCUGAUGGCCACCGACAGUGUCUACUCCAUGGGCAACUGGGUGAAGAGGCAGUUAAUUCAUUCCAUAGAUGUUCCUGGAGCACCUGCUAUUAGCUGGACUCGUCACAGAUAAUAAGAAGUUCAGGCCGGGAGCAGUGGCUCGUGCCAUGCCAGCACUUUGGGAGGCCGAGGUGGGCAGAUUACCUGAGGUCAGGAGUUCGAGACCAGCCUGGCCAACAUGGUGAAACCUCGUUUCUACUAAAAAUACAAAAAUUAGCUGGGUGUGCUGGCACAUGCCUGUAAUCCCAGCUACUCAGGAGGCUGAGGCAGGAGAAUUACUUGAACCCAGGAGGCAGAGGUUGCAGUGAGCCUAGAUCGCGCCACUGCACUCCAGCCUGUGCGACAGAGCGAGACUCCAUCUAAAAAGAAACCAAAAAAGAAAAAAAAACAGAAAAAAAGAAGUUCAGUGGUAGGUUUCAGAUUCCACACUGCAACGAACUUUGAGCAACUAUCACUUGCCAAGUUUUUGGUGGUGGUGUAGAAACUACCUGCAAUUACCCAAAAAGGCUGUUCAAAUACUUCUCCCUUUUCCAGCUACAGACCUGCAAGAGGCUGGAGUUGCUUUGUGUGCUUUAACCAAAACAACAUAUGGCAACAGACUGAAUGCAGAAGCAGAUACCAGAAUCCAGCUGUUUUCUAUUAAAGCAGAUAGUAAAAAGACUUGCAAAAAUUUAAAACUACCAUUAUUUUUGCCUUGUGUUUUGGAACAAAACAAAUAGUUUUGUUGAAAAAUUUUUAGAAGAAAAUCAUUUUUCAUAAAAAUGUUAUUUAUGUUAAAAUGAAAGGGAUUUAUUUCUUUGAGAUGAAAUUAUAUAAAUUUUUAAAAUUCUUAGUUUUAAUUUUUAAUGUGGUAAAUAGUUAUUGCUGAAUCCACAUAAAAAUUCUUUGAGGUCUUACAUAAUUUUUAACAGUGCAAAGUGUUCUGAGAACCAAACUUUGAAAACUGCGUUUUAUUUUUUCAUUACAAAUUUAUUAUAAAACACACAGAGGAUAAAAUUUAAAAUCAUAAUCUAUAAUCCUAUCACUAAGAAAUACCCUCUUUUGGUAUUUCUUUCCUUCCAUAUCAAUAUCAUACCUAUAUUACUCAUUCUGAAAUACUGUCUCGAAAGCUGGAAUUUUUUUUUCAUUAUAGAUGUCACAAAUAAAUUUAAAAUAGGGGUUGGGGGGUUUAAGUACCUGAGAUGAAUUAACUACCUGGCCAUAUUGGGCAUUUAAGUGUUUGACACCUUCUGCUAUUAUAAAUAUGAGAGAUUUCCUAGACUUCUCCCUUAGCAUUUUCCAGAUGUUAAAGUAGUGGAUCAAAUGGUAGUCAUGUUUAGAGGCACUUGAUACAUAUCGCCAAAUUCCUGUUCAACUGCAUAGUCUUCCGUGAGGCCAGGCUGGGUCUCCAUAACUCAGAAUUAUAUUUGGCACUUCCAUGGAUGGGUGAAUGGAUGGAUGAAUGGAUGAACAAACAUGUGAAAGGAAUGGUUUCUUUGUACCCACAUUAAAAUUGGGUGUUAACGGUUAAAUUAUUUUGUAGUUGCUUAAUUUUAAAAAGAUGUCUCAUUGCUGCUGUAAUUUUCAUUUCCUUCGUGACUGUGACAUUAAAAGUGUUGUCUCAUGUUGA